GGGGUGGAGCGGUAGAAGCCUCAGGGGAGGAAGGGGUGGGCAGGAGAAGCCGCUGGUGACAAUUUCGUCUGGGUCCAGGCAAACAUGAGGCAGCUGCCAGUCGGCCUGGGCAGUCUUGUCUGCCUCGGCUGGGAAGUAAGGAGAACUGGCAACAGUUUCCUCAGCGCCCAGGAUGCAGCGGCUAAGGUAGGUGCUGGGGGACUGGGGUCUUGCUCUGGAGAGGGGUGUGCGGGUGGAGGAAUGGGGGCUUCCGGGGGUUGCCCUGGACCAGGAAGCUUUUCCCUUUGACCCUCAUCCCUCUUGUUCGACUUUCCUUUGGGAAAAGUGAGCGUUGGGGUGUCCUGGCUGGGAGGCUGAACUCCUGGGGCUCCCUUUAGAUGGGAGAGCUUUUAAGCAUUUGUGGAAGAGAAGCUGGACAGAGGAGGAGCUUGGGGUCAGCCCACGAAUUGUCCUGCUCAAUUAGGUCUCUGGGCCAGGUGCCAGCGUGGCUAACACUGAACCUGGAGCCCACAGCCCUCGGGGUUGGGGGAGGGGCGAGCCUGGGAGGGAGUCACUUGUGCUUGGAGGCUGGUCAAUGAACGCAUCUUCUAAUCAAUCACUCAAGUAAUGAAUGAGUGCCCACUUCCCCUGAAAGGGCUAGGAGCCCCUAACAAGAACACUUCCUACACAUUCCCUCUCACUGGGGCUGUGGAGGGUUGAGAGAGAGAACACAAGGAAAAUGCCUGCCACAGAGUUCAAGAAACGGUGGUGGGGAGCGGGGAAGGGUAAAUAAUUAAAGGAGGAAGAAGGAGGGAAGGAGAUAUAAGCCGGACCCCAGCCUCUAGCUGACUCUCCAAAGGUCUGCGGCUCACACAUUCAGGAUAGUUCAGGACCAGGUCUGACUGCUCAUAACAGAACACCCCAAACAGCAGUGGAGGGAACAAAGUCGGUGGGGUUUGUCUGUCGUGCAGAAGUCCAGAGGGGCAUUGGAGGGCCCGGUCACAGCAUGUCAGGCUGCUCGGUAUCAUCCCUGAGGUUACCUUAAGGGGCAACAUGGCCGCUGGAGCUCCAGCCAGCACAUGUGGACUCAUACUGACAUAUUAGCAGGAAGAAGAAAGAAAGAAGGGCAAAAGUUCCCCAGUAAAAUCAGGGUGUUGCGUGCAGGAGAGAAUGGAUACGGGGAUGGCACCUCAGCAUCUCUGCCCUGAAGAGAUGAUGGCUUCCUGCUUCUUUCACCUGUGAGGAAAGCAUGCCAGCAUGGGCUGGGGGUUGGCUAGGACCACACUGCUCGCAAACCCCAGGCCUCCCUUGCUCUGUCUGCUCCAUUUUCCAGGGUGCCAAGAAGAUCAGCUGAGGUGAUGGCUUGAAGCUCUUUGAGUAUGGCAGCAUUGCACAUGAGAAAUGUGCCUUCUCUCCUGUCACCUCAAGUCUCCCCAGCAACCACCACGCAGGCAGGGCAGAGCAGAAAAACUUAGCACCUUGUCCCAGGCUCAUACACUACGUGCUUGCUGCACACACACAAGCACACACCACAUGCAGCACAGACCCAGUGCAUCCUGGGUGUUGGUAUGAGCAUGGACUGCAUAGCCAUGGAUACACACAACUGUGUCCAUAGGCAGAGAUGCAUCGAGCCGCCCUGCAUGACCACCCUGCAUGGAGAUGGGAAUUUUCACAGUCAGGCUGCACAUAGAUGCACACACAGCCAGCUCUGUUCACCAGCAAGGGACCUUCCCGCCUCCCUUGCCUUUCCUCUGCUGCUCUUAACUGCCAAAGUUCACUCUGGGAGAUUGGCCACCCUGCCCUUGCCAGACUGGCAGAGCUAGUGGCCUGAGUCCUGCAGGUACAUCUGGUCUUCCCUUAGCCAUUGUGACCCCACACUGCCCUCCACCCUCCCACACCGGCUCCUGGGCCCCAGUGGGUGUCACUGUCCUUAUAUCUGCUAAUGUCCUUCCUGUGACUGGCCUGGCCAGGGAGGGGAGUGGAACCCACACCUUCUGGUGCUGGGCCAAGCCCAGGAGAAGCCACCACUAGGUUUCUCAACAAGAUCAAUGGGAGAUUGUGAAAAAUCAUCUUCCUCUCUUGUGGCAGCAGGGACUGUAGUCAAAGCUCAGGCUGGGAGGUGUUCUGACUCCUGGGUCACGGUCAGUGGCUGCCCCCAGUAAUGCCUCAUGACUGCCCGGCUCCUCAGCCUUCUCCUCACACUCUCCAGCCAUUCACAAAUUCUCACUCCUGGGAGGAGGUGGGGAUGCACUGCCAUUCCCAUUGUAGACACUGAAGUUCAGAGAAGGGGAACAGCCUGUCGAAGCUCCAGAACUCCAUGAGCUUGAUCCCAUGAGCUCUUAGGAGAAAGGAGCGACGAAUCCACAGACUCUGUGGCAGGGGUGUCUUCACAGCCUAGCCUAUGCACUGGGAGCCCCUUCUGCCUGGCCUCCAGCCUUAUUGCAGGGCACUGUGCCAGAUGGGCCCUAAUUUGCUCCAACAUUUCAAAAGACCCCAGGCUGCACUGGGAAGAAAAGGGCUCUGCCUCUGCUCUCCAGGUAGAGCACGGAAGAAGGGCAGGGCUGAGGGCCAGGAGCCUUGGGGUGCCAACCACUAUCCAGGCCAUUGUCUCCUGCAUUACCUCCCUGGACCCUCAGAGAGCCCACAAGACAGCUGCUAGUAUUGUCCCCACUUUACAGAUAGGGAAACAGAGGCCUGCCCCAGACUGCAGGCUACAAAAGGUUGUGGCUGAGAUUUGAACCCUGCUCUGUCUUACUCCAGAGUGGAGGUCUCUAGGGAUUGGGGGCUGUGGGAAGACGCAGGAGAAGGGCAUGCCUUUAACCAGAUGGCAGAGGAGGGGUGCAUCCCAGCCACAGGCCUGGCUCCCUGGCCUUGUGGUCUGUUGUGCCCUCUGAGCCCUCUAGUGAGUGCACACAAGCCAGACCCCCCAGGUCACAUCUCCUGCAUUAGCCACGUGACCUUGAGCUAGCUGCUUCCCAUUUUUGCACUGCAGAUGCAGAGUUAGGAAGGAAAGGACCCCAAUAUUUUGAUUUCAGGUUGCCUUGUCUUACCAAAACCUUCUGUGAGAGGCAGAGAACUGUUUUUCUGACUCAGCAGUGGGGGCUUAGAGCCCACCUGCCCUCCCCAGAGCACCCCCAGGCAUCCCAGGGACUUCCAGGAGCAGCCAUUGUGGCUUCUGAGGGGAAGAAGGUACCUCAGUUUCCAAGGUGAAACAGAAGAGGGGAGAGAAGUUAGCAUGUCUUCCUGACCUGGUGCCCAGGGUGGGCAGGAGCCUGAGAAUGAAGGGAAGGCACAGCAUGGGGCACAGUGUGGGGUGAGUCCCCUUGUGGCUCCCUGCCCAGGGCCUCCAGCUCCAGCUGACUAAUGUUCCCCUUGAGCAGGUGCAUCUGUCAUCUGUGAUCAGCCCACAUCCUGGAACGCCACAGAACAGCCCUGUGGCAGGGAGAGAAGCAAGGGGACUCGCAGAGUUGGAGAGGGAGCAGCCGAGCUGAGACAGGAGGGCAGCGUGGGUGGGAGUUGUCCCACACUAGGGUUGGCCCAGCCUCCCCCUCCCAUCUGCCACCUUAGCUCUAUGCCCAGUGUGCCCUCUCCAUCAGUCUGGCCGGGCCUGAGUUAGGAUCAGCCAGGAAAAGCAGCUGCUGGUCUUUUCUGGCCUGGCCUCCCCACCUGCCCAACACCCCCAGCCUUCCCCAACCUUCAGCACAUGGACAGCAGGCAUACGCUGGGACAGGCCAGGGGCAGAUCCCAGUCCCCUGCCGCUGGUGCCACAUGCCCCUGUGCUCAGCUCUCUCAAGGUGGGUACUCUGGGCAGUGCCUGAGAGAACCAAACUCUACCCUACCUGUGCCCCACUGACUAAGGGCAGGGCCCUCCCCUCCCUGGGCCUCAGUCUUCCCAUCUGGCUCUGAGAGAGGCUCACAGCAUUUGCCAGGCCCUGUAACGAGCGGUGUGAGGCUGGGAGGGCACAGGCCUGGCUGACUUAGUCCAAGGCCACCUCCAGCAGUGCCCCCACAUGUGCACACUAAUGUCCAUGGUUCUUGCACAGAACCCAGAUCCUCACCGUACAGGACUGAGGGACCCUGGGCAGGAGAUGGGCAUGGCCAGGAGGUGCUGUAGCUGUGCCUUGUUGGCUGUGAGCCCUGGCUUUGAACCAGCAGACCUGGGCUCAGUCCUGGCCCCGUCAUGCACUGGCUGUGUAUCCUCUGACAGGUUACAUAGCUCCUCUGUGCCAUUGUCUCCUCAUUUUCUUGGGGGAAGUCUGAAUAUCACAGACCUCUCCAGAUAAAUGCGAUCCUUUACCAACCAGCUUGGCCUGGCCACUGGCACAGAGUGAGGCCUCCACACAUGAAGGGAAUACUUAUGUCAUUCCUUCUGGCUGCUGGGAGAGCCUGGGAGGGCCACCAAGAGGCAAUGUGGCCAUGGGCAACUCAAGUCCACCCCUGGGUUAACAUGACAACCUCCUUUGUAAGGCAGCAUGGGGAGCCAUCAGAGCAGGGUGGAACAGCCCAGUUCUCCCCUCUUCUGCUCUAGUGCUGUGAGACCGAUGGGGCUCAGGGCUGUAUGUGCAUGUGUGUGUGCAUAUAUAGAUGUGUUCGUAGGCAUGUGUACAUAUUUGUGUGUGUGUGUGUGUGUGUGUGCGUGCGCAUGCACGCACAUAUGUGCAUGCACAUCUUCAGGGACUCACGACAACUUCAUCUCCCCCAACAAGGCGAGCUGCCUGGCUCAUGUCUGUCUGUGCCCAGGGGUGAGUGGAGAAUCCAGGCUCCCCAAAGCUUCCCCAUUCCAUAGCCCGGGGGCCUGCACGACACAACGCCCACCAUUGCUUCCUGCCAUCUGCCUCGAGCAAUAGAAAUAGAGCCAGUGACAGCAAGUAGUGCUGGGUAGGCCAGUCUGUGCUGCAGCAGCCAUGGACAGGGUAGGGGGUGGGGAGCCCCUCAUCUGAGCAGCCUCCUUGUCCCCUGCUGGCCCUGAUCUCAGGGAAGCCCUACCAGAAAGGAAGGGGGUGAGAAUCAGGAUACCCCCUUCCCCUUCCAGGCAAGGCCAAGAAUUUUCUAUCUGGAGGGACAGACACUCUAAACAAACUCUCCAAGCUGCAUUUUCAGAUCUACCAAGGAGAUGUAUAAAAACAGAGUAGCCCAGGCCUCUCUGCAUCAAACAAUCCAGCCCCUGGGCAGGCAGGUGGUGGGAGCCUCCCCAUGUGAUUCCGGCGUGCAGCAGCUAAGAGUGACAUCUGGGAGGAGUCAGCCGUGUGUCUUGCCCAUGCACGUGCUCCUAGAGUGCCAUCUCUGGGGAAAGGAACCUGGAUGCUUUAACAAAGGAUUUCUAGGACCCUGCCUGGCCUCUGGCCAUGCAUCCAACCUUCUCAAAGGCCACCAUGUGCCUCCUGGUCACCUCUGCCACGUGAACUCUGGAAGGCUCUCUGGGAGUUUCUCUGGAGCACCGUUGCUGAGAACCAUGGAGACUGAACUAGCAGCUCAAGGGUAUCACCUUGGCACACCCCUGACAGUCUGACUCCAUCUUCUCAGCCAGAUGGACCCCCACAAGAUGAAGCUGUGCCCUGCUGGGAAUGGAUCAGGGAGUGGGAUACUGCUCUGUGGGCCACCUGGCCUCUCAGGGACCCACAGGGUGGGGAGUCAUGAGGUGGAAUGUCUGGUCCACGUCCUGGAGGUUUGUUCCAAGCCCUUAGCCUUUGUCUGUGGUGUGGAGACUCUCAGGUAGAGACGGGACUGUGUUCACUGUGAGAGGAAGGUAUGGGGACAGCUACAUCCCUGCAGUGACAGUUUUCUCAGGCCCUGGAGAGUCACCACCCCUCCCUCACUGCCCACAUCUAGAGUAGGUCCUAAGUAUCUGUCUCCAUAAUAUCCCCAGCACACAGCCAUGACCUCCACCUGGCUCAGCCUUCCCCACCUCUCCUGAGCCUGGUCACCCCUCACCUCCCCCAGGUGGCCCCCUAUCUCAUCAUCCUCCAACCUGACCUGCAUACUCCACCAGGCCACCCUUCUGAGGCAGCUCUGGCUCUAGCUGGACUUGGGUGGCAGAGAGGAGCUGGGGCGGCUGUGCCCUGCCAGGAGGACACUGUCCCAAGCCAGCCAGCUGGCAGGUCUGAGAACCAUCCGGACCGGUGCUGUCCAAUGAAGACAUGAUGAAGCCACAGAUGCCACUUAAAAUGUUCCAGUAGGCACAGAAAAGAAAGAAAAAAAGUUAAAUUAUUUUAACCAUAUGUCUUAUUAAACCCAAUGUAAAUGAU